CUCCUUGCCCCUAGCCUUUUAUAUCAACAGGCCACAGGGGCUUUGUGUUGCUCCUUUCAGCUGCUUUUACAUACAGAGUGCUAGUUAGAAACACCUUCCAUUAAAUCUUAACCUGGCACAGAAAGUUCAAGCAAAUGCAGUCCUUGUAGGCUGUUCAUGGUUUGGAUAUGUUUCUCUGUUUUUACUGUGACACCCUCUGUGCAGAGACUUGUUUACUGAUCUCCAUAAAUCAGCAUUCUCAUCAGAUGUGCACUCCCUUUCAGUGCUGCAUGUCUGGGGUUUCAUCUGUAUUGGCAGAAAACCACUGACUGCAGGCUAACAGAGCGGCAGAUGUAAAAUAAAUCCUUUGGAACACAUUUAAUGCAUGUGAAAAGAAGAAACAAGAAACCAAAUCUGCACAAAUUAAACACAGUAGGGAAUCAAUUCCAUAACUUCUGGAACAUAUCCUACUGUGAUUUCCUAGUCAACAAGAAAAUUCAGGAGAUCCUUGGAGUAGCAUUCUUCCUGGUGCACCAACUUUUAGAUGUGGAAUGUUCACCGGAGAGUCUAUGUGUCCCACAGAUAACUGAAGCUCUGUGGGGUGCUGGGAAGAGGAGGAUGACAUGACAGACAAAAGUGUAUGCAAAAAAGCCCACCACGAUUGAAGAAAAACAGUGAAAGUCAAAGAGCAAUAAGCUUGGAAUCAACUUUCAGUAAUCUACAUGGCAAAAAAAACCAUUCACUUCAGGAAGGACUUGAAUUUGUAUUACUAGUCAAGUAGCUAGUUUAAGUUUUGGAAAGAGCUUACCCAUUUUUUUGGUACUGAUCUCCUACUAUGUGUACAUAGUGUGUGUAUGUAUUGUGAAUACAUACAAUGUGUAUGUAUUCCUAAAAAAAGCAAUGACAUUUUAAAGAUUUCUGCCUC
rnacentral:lncRNA from 7 species